rnacentral:tRNA from 1 species
GGAUCCGUAGCUCAGUUGGUUAGAGCAUACGCCUCAUAAGCGUCAGGUCACAGGUUCAAGCCCUGUCGGAUCUA